GAUGAACGCUGGCGGCGUGCCUAAUACAUGCAAGUCGAACGAACAGACGAGGCGCUUGCUCCUCUGACGUUAGCGGCGGACGGGUGAGUCACACGUGGAUCACCUCCCUAUAAUACUGGGAUCACUUCGGGAAACCGGCUCUAAUCCCUGAUAAUAUCUUGAACCGCAUGGUUCAAUAGUGAAAUACGGUUUUUCUGUCACUUCUCGAUGGAUCCGCGCCGUAUUAGCUAGUUGGUAAGGUAACGGCUUACCAAGGCAACGAUGCGUAGCCGAACUGAGAGGGGGAUAGGACACACGGGAAGGGAGACACGGACAAGAAGACUAAGGGAGGCAGCAGUAGGGAAUGGUCCGCAAUGGGCGAAAGCAUGACGGAGCAAGGCCGAGUGAGAGAUGAAGGUGUUCGGAUCGGAAAACUCUGUUAUGAGGGAAGAACAAAUGUGGAAGUAAAUAUGCACGGAGUGACGGUAACGAAUAAGAAAGCCACGGCUAACUACGUG
rnacentral:rRNA from 1 species